UUAUGGUGAUGAGGACAAUUUCUGAGUACGCCCUUGAAUCUCUCCCAAGCUUGGUAGAUACUUUCUUUAUCUUUCUAUCUGAAACUUGAUAUCUCACUCCUCAAUCG
rnacentral:snoRNA from 1 species